AUGGCAGGUUAUAUGCUAUAUGAGAAGCAAGAUUUUUUGCUAAUAUCACAGGAGCCUCUGGCCCAAUGAAUGGGGUCUGAUAGUAAUCUUUUUCUUUAAAU
rnacentral:snoRNA from 1 species